rfam:Triticum aestivum genome assembly, contig: Triticum_aestivum_CS42_TGACv1_scaffold_516013_6BS
AAAGUACUCCCUCCGUCCCAAAAUUCUUGUCUUAGAUUUGUCUAGAUACGGAUGUAUCAAGUCACAUUUUAGUAUUAGAUACAUCCUAUCUAGACAAAUCUAAGACAAGAAAUUUGGGACAGAGGGAGUAGUUG